rnacentral:rRNA from 1 species
AUUGAACGCUGGCGGCAGGCCUAACACAUGCAAGUCGAACGAGUGGCGGACGGGUGAGUAAUGGAUGGGAAAGUGCCCGAUGGCGGGGGAUAACUACUGGAAACGGUAGCUAAUACCGCCUACCAUUGGAUUGGCCGAGAUGGGAUUAGCUAGUAGGUGGGGUAAAGGCUCACCAAGGCGACGAUCCCUAGCUGGUCUGAGAGGAUGACCAGCCACACUGGAACUGAGACACGGUCCAGACUCCUACGGGAGGCAGCAGUGGGGAAUAUUGCACAAUGGGCGCAAGCCUGAUGCAGCCAUGCCGCGUGUAUGAAGAAGGCCUUCGGGUUGUAAAGUACUUUCAGCAGGGAGGCGUUACCCGCAGAAUAAGCACCGGCUAACUCCGUGCCAGCAGCCGCGGUAAUAC